rnacentral:lncRNA from 1 species
ACCAGACUACUCAUUGGCAAAUAGCAUUGUGCUUGUUUUGACAGUUUUUGUAAUUCAAACUACAGGACAUAAACACAAUUCAGGAUUUGCCUCCAAAUGGACACUUGAUUCACCUAUUGAGGUGUAUCAGAAAUGAGGUUUUGGUUAGGCUGUGUCUGAACUCAGUGUCUUGUGACUCCAAAGCAAUGACACUAGUAGUGGGAAAGCCUGAAAAGGCUGGAAUGGUUCCUUUCAAUACCUCCCAGCAACUUUCAAUACCUGUAUUCUAGUUUCUAAUUAUGGCUUAAGACAGUGUCUAAUUUAUGCCUGGUAAAUGUACACAAACCCAUGCUAAAUCCUCUUUAUAAAAGAAUUGAGCUUCUAGAAUAUCAUUGCUUGCUUUUUAAUCUGAUUUCCAUGUCCCCAAAUGUGGAGCCUAUUCCUUUAGGAAGGAUAUAUCAUUGCUAGAUCUUAGCUUUGAAGAUGGGCAAAAAUAGAAAUGGGUGUUAUUCUUCCCUCCACUCUAGAAACACUAUUGCAUCCCAUUAAGACACAAGUUCAAUUGCUAUAAUAGAAAACUAUGUGAAAUGACCUUUUCGAGAAAACAGAUGUCAGUGUUUCAAGGAUGUAUGACAUCAAAAUGACUGUAUAUUUUUAUGGCAUAUAAAUUAGAUAAAUGGAUAAACCAGGAAUCUGGUAUAAGAAAUGUGUUUACCACCCCGAAGCCUGUUCUUAGAUAUUGAUUAUUAAUAAUUUUUUUUUACCAAAUAAUCCCCAGAAUUGUUAUUAAUAUUGAGACACUUGUAAAUUUUCAACCAAGUUUAUAUCUCUUGCCUAUAUUUGAUCCCAAUGAUAAAUAAGGUGGAUUUCUUCCCCCACAAUAGAAAUAAACAGGGCCCCAGUUACUGAUGACAUCUGCCAUAGGUCAAAUGACAGUUCCGAGCAGGAGGAAUGACUGGACCCUUUAUCUUUGUAACAAUCACUGAGAUCUAGGGAAAGAGAAGAGCCACCUAACAGUCCUGUACAAAUGUUGAUUCAUUCCAGUCUGGGUUGUUUUCACUGAAAAUUUAGGAAGGCAAUCUGUAAACUGGUCCUUGGGCCUUGGUGAGAAUGUUUCAAAGGCAGUCUGAGGCCCGAGUUAGAAGCAUGUACAGUAAGGAUGAGACUAGCUAUUAAAAUUUCACCAUAAGUGCUCAUUCCAACAUCCAGACUCUUAUUUGGUCUUCCAGUUUGGGGCCGUUUGACACCAGAACAGAAGCUAGUGGAGUCACCUUGGUAAAUGACUUCAUCUAGGUUAUUGUUACAGUAAGUAGUUCUACCAAACAAGGAAACUACAUCUGAACAAAAACACUGUUGGAGCAGGUGUUCUAGCCGUUGGAGAAAAGUGAUUAGAGUGACAUUACUCAAUCAUUUUGUUUCUCUGAUAAUAAUAUAUUAUUUAUUAGAGGUAUUUUUGUUUUUGUCCUGUGUGUCCCCUUUUAUAAAUUUCACAUCUAACUCUUUCCCCCUUUGGGUGUGCCACAGCAGAAGCAAGUUAUGCUUGCAGAAGGUGAGCCAGAGAAAUGUUCAUCUUGUUUUGAAGAAAGUUCUUUCCUAAGUUUAUUUAGAAACCAAUAUAGCAUGUAGCAAGAUGCUUCUGAUAUGUGUUGCCUUUCACCUUGAGCUUCUCAAAUCCAAAAUGGAGUUCCCUUGGUGGCUCAGUGGUUAAUGAACCUGAUGAGAAACCAUGAGGAUGUNCAGACUCGGCUCAGAUCCUGCAUUGCUGUGGCUCUGGCGUAGGCCGGUGGCUACAGCUCCGAUUAGACCCCUAGCCUGGGAACCUCCAUAUGCCGCGGAAGCGGCCCAAAGAAAUAGCAAAAAGACAAAAAAAAUACAUAAAUAAAUAAAUAAAAAAUAAAUAAAAACAAAACAAAACAACCCCUAUUUCUCAAGUCUCUCAAUUGAAAAAUCUGAAAGGAAGAGUAUCUCUGUUAGGGAGUUCCCUUGGUGGCUCAGUGGUUAACGAACCUGAUGAGAAACAAUGAGGAUGUAGGUUCGAUCCCUGGCCUUGCUCAGCGGGUUAAGGAUCCGGCAUUGCUGUGACGUAGGCCAACAGCUGUAGCUCAGGUUCAACCCCUUAGCCUGGGAACUUCCACAUGCCUUGGGUGUGG